GACGAAUGCUGGCGGCGUGCUUAACACAUGCAAGUCGAACGGAAAGGCCCUGCUUUUGUGGGGUGCUCGAGUGGCGAACGGGUGAGUAACACGUGAGUAACCUGCCCUUGACUUUGGGAUAACUUCAGGAAACUGGGGCUAAUACCGGAUAGGAGCUCCUGCUGCAUGGUGGGGGUUGGAAAAUUUCGGCGGUUGGGGAUGGACUCGCGGCUUAUCAGCUUGUUGGUGGGGUAGUGGCUUACCAAGGCUUUGACGGGUAGCCGGCCUGAGAGGGUGACCGGCCACAUUGGGACUGAGAUACGGCCCAGACUCCUACGGGAGGCAGCAGUGGGGAAUAUUGCACAAUGGGCGGAAGCCUGAUGCAGCAACGCCGCGUGCGGGAUGACGGCCUUCGGGUUGUAAACCGCUUUCGCCUGUGACGAAGCGUGAGUGACGGUAAUGGGUAAAGAAGCACCGGCUAACUACGUG
rnacentral:rRNA from 1 species